UUCAGAUGAUGAUGGUGAAUAAAUAGUGAAGGUAAAAACUACUUUAGCCGACAUAGACAUGGACGCCAAUGGCAAGGAGGAAGAUAGUGAUGAGUCCAAAGUAAAUUACUGCAUGGACCAAAAUGGAAACGCCGCUGGUUUGCAUGUUCCCGAAUUCAACCGUUUUUCCACGGCCGGGAAGCUGGAAUAGUAGACCCGGAGUUAACAACACGAACAGCACCACCGCUAUCAAAACUGGGCCCCAGUCCGCCAUUGUUAAUCGGAAAAUUAGCUCGUUGAUUUGAACAGAGUAAAG
rnacentral:misc_RNA from 1 species